rnacentral:rRNA from 1 species
CGUGUCAGCCGCCGCGGUAAUACGUAGGGGGCAAGCGUUAUCCGGAAUCAUUGGGCGUAAAGGGUGCGUAGGCUGCCCUAUAGGUCAGAGGUCAAAGGCUACGGCUCAACCGUAGUAAGCCUUUGAAACUGUAGGGCUUGAGUGCAGGAGAGGAGAGUGGAAUUCCUAGUGUAGCGGUGAAAUGCGUAGAUAUUAGGAGGAACACCAGUGGCGAAGGCGACUCUCUGGACUGCAACUGACGCUGAGGCACGAAAGCGUGGGUAGCGAACAGGAUUAGAUACCCUGGUAGUCCACGCCGUAAACGAUGAGUGCUAGGUGUUGGGGGUCGAACCUCGGUGCCGAAGUUAACGCAUUAAGCACUCCGCCUGGGGAGUACGUACGCAAGUAUGAAACUCAAAGGAAUUGACGGGGACCCGCACAAGCAGCGGAGCAUGUGGUUUAAUUCGAAGCAACGCGAAGAACCUUACCUGGACUUGACAUCCCUCUGACCGAUUCUUAACCGAAUCCUUCCCUUCGGGGGACAGAGGAGACAGGUGGUGCAUGGUCGUCG